GCCGGCGUACUCCAAUCGGCAGAGAGGCGGCGCUUAGAACGCCGACAGUGUGGGUUCGAAUCCCAUCGCCGGCA
rnacentral:tRNA from 1 species